CAGUUAUAGAACACAAACAUAUAUGUCAAAAGUCGGCCACCCCUUUCUCGAUCUGGUUCACAAUUCGGAGGCAGCGACGCAAGAGGAAGCUCCUACGUCGCUUGCUGUCGAGGAGAAGCCGCCGGAGAAGGAAGAAGAUAAGAAAGCAGAGCAAGGAGAUGAAAAGAAAGCCAGCCACCCCCUUUCUCUCAGACCGUCCAAGCCGUCAUUCCUCUUUCUCUCCAAGCCCAACCCUUCUAUCGAAGCCACUGAGGGUUAAAUCGAUAGUCAGCGCAGCGUUAGAGCAGAUAAGAUAGCGUCACAGCUGAUUGGCGUUGAGAUUGAACAAGGAUUCACCCCUUUCUCUAAGCCCUAACCCUAGCUCCCUCUCUCAUUCGAAGCCCUAAAUUUGAAGGAAAUGAAUUGAGGGUUUGGUGGUGCUGUAGCAGGAAGAGGAAUCAAACUGAAAUGGAGUAAUUUGAUGCCUCAAAGGAUUCGUCAGAGGGUGUAGUGGGUGAUUCUCAGUUGCUUGAACAGAAAAAGGCUACAAUUCGCCUUGGGGGUCCCAUAAAACUCUAGGUCAUAGCAUGGAUGGUGUGGAGGGUGUUCCUCCUCAGCUGUAGAGAGAGUCGAGGGCAUAGCAAGGAUGGUGUGGAGGGUGUUCCUCCUCAGCUGUAGACAGAGUCGAGGCUUGUAUUGUUUUGUUAUAUUCCGUAUAAUAGUUUAUGUUUUGUCUUAUAUUUCUUAAGAAUAUUUCUGGCAUGUAAUAAGUGUUAUUUCGGACUUUAAAACUUUGAUGUUGUAAUAUUUGCAUCUUAUCUAUUAAUUUUCAGUCUUGUUUAUGUAAAAGGAAAUAAAUAGGUGGAUGUGUGGUUGAGAUA